rnacentral:lncRNA from 1 species
GAAAUUGAAAUAGGUGAGUAAAUUAAACACAACAAACAAACAAAGCAAAGAAAUAAAAGAAAGAAAGAAACCAAAGAAAAAAAAAUUAUGAGAAAAAGAUUUUCCAGUGAAGAGAGAGUGAAUUUGAAAACAAAUUAAAGAAAAAGAAACCCCGUAUAAUGAUCAUCAAGCUCUGGUUCAAAUUUGAUAAUCAUUUUCUAGAUUUUGUUUGAAAAUAAAAAGGGAAAUCAAAUACCUAAAAUUUGUGUGCAAAUUGCAAAGGAGAAGAGAUGCAUUUGAAGGUUUGUGAUAGAUGAAAUGGUUAGGCUCAGUAGAGAGAAGAGAUGGUUUUGGGAAGAAGAUGAAUGGAAGAUAGAAGAAAAAGUGUAGUUGGUGGUGAGAGAGAUAGAGCGUUUUUAGUUGGUGUCCGCUUUUUAUGAAUUUUUAUUCAUAGUAAUGCAUGACAUAUAUUCUGCUUUGAUGACCCUUAGUCCCUAAAUUCAAUUUUGUAACGGAUGGAUCACAGAUGCGUCCAUGACCAUAAAGUAAAAUGUUGGAUGAAAUUGAUGACCCUAGUCCCUAAAUGUGAAAGCUAAUUGUUGCCUUAAUUGCUACUCAAGCAAUUGUCUCUAUGGGUGUCCGCUUUUUAUGAAUUUUUGUUCAUAGUAAUGCAUGAUAUAUAUUCUGUCCCAACCCAAGAACAUUCAAUCUUCUGUUUAUUGAAAAUUUCAUUCCAACAUAUUUGGGAAAGAUGAUGGGUUGCCGAUUUUGGUUUAUAAUCAAUACCUAUCGGGAAAGAUGAUGGGUUGCCGAUUUUUGCAUUCUGGAUUAUUCAUAAAUCUUCAAUCUUCUGCUUCAAUAAAACAGUGAAAUUUCUAAUUUUGUAAGGGGUUGUGUGUUUUCUUGAUGUCCAAAAAUUGCUGGAAAAAUUACUUAUGACCCUAGUCCCUCAAUAUGAAAUGUUGCAUAUAUUGCUACUCAAGAAAUUGUCUCUAUCACAAAAAUUAUGAAUUUUUAUUCAUAGUAAUGCAUGAAUGGGUAUAUAUUCUUGUUUGAUGACCCUUAGUCCCUAAAUUCAAUUUUGCAACUGCAAUUAGAAGUGAUAUUGCAUUAUGAACUUAAUUGUGAAAGCUAGUUGUUGCCUUAAAUGCAAUUUUAAUAUAAAAUUUCAUUCAUAAUAUACGACACAUAUAAUAUCUAUUUUUCUUUGAUGUCCCUAGUCCCUAAAUGCAAUUUUGCAACUACAAUAUGAAGUGAUUUGGCAAAUGCAAAAGGAAGUGCGUCCUUGUGUUUCAAAGGAAUUCUCUAAUGAAGCAACGAAUCAACUGAAGCAAAGUACAAAGAAACCAAUUCUUUGGAGUCUAAACUAUUUUAUAUAAGGAUGCUUGCAUUGUGAUUUAUGGAGGAAUCCAUAAUGAGGUUGUAUAUCUGUUAGUCUUGUUUAUUGCAGUCCUAAUGUGAAAUUUAAUGAAAUUUGGUGGAUGCUUUGUCGCUGGCAUAAGAAUCAGAUAGUAACUGAAAAAAGGGAUAACCUUACCCAUUUUUAUCAUUCUUGAUCAUUCAAUUAAAUUCAAUCUUCUGCGGUUAUUUGGAAACCGAAAUUUCACGGAACUGUUAGUGGAAGACUGUAACUGAACUGAAGUUGAAUGCAUGUUGGUGGGUAAAGUAAACGGAAGGUUGAUGGUUCAGGUGUUGGUGUUGAUGUGGCUUCAUGCACGAAUCAGAGUAACUUUCUAUCCCAAAUUUGAAAAUGGAAAGUGAGAUCAAGAGGUAUGUGAUUCCUGACUUAGUUUUUUAUGUUUUGACUUCACAUAUUUGCAUUGAUUCAUGUUCAGAUACUCAUUUUUCUCAUUCUUGAUUAUUCAAUAACAUUCAAUCUUCUGUUUAUUGGAAAUUUCAUUUCAACAUAUUUGGGAAAUAUGAUGGGUUGACGAUUUUGGUUUAUAAUCAAUACAUGUUGGGUAAGAUACUGGGUUGCCAAUUUUUUCAUUCUUGAUUAUUCAAAAACCCUCAAUCUUCUGUUUCAACAAAAAAGUGAAAUUUCUAAUUUUGUAAGGGGUUGUAUGUUGUCAUGAUGUCCAAAAAUUGAUGGAAAACUUACUUAUGACCCUAGUCCCUCAAUAUGAAAUCUAGUUGUUGCCUAUAUUGCUACUCUAGCAAUUGUCUCUAUCGGUGUCCGCUUUUCUCUUCACAAAAAUUAUGACCCUUAGGCCCUAAAUUCAAUUUUGUAACGGAUGGAUCAUAGAUGCAUCGAUGACCAUAAAGUAAAGUGUUGGAUUAAAUAGAUGACCUAGUCCCUGAAUGUGAAAGCUAGUUGUUGCCUUAAUUGCUACUCAGACCAUAUUCUCUACGGGUGUCCGCUUUUCUGUUUAAAAAAUUUAUGAAUUUUUAUUCAUAGUAAUGCACGAAUGGGUAUAUAUUAUGCUUUGAUGACCCUUGGUCCCUAAAGUAACAAAUGGAUCACAGAUGCGUCGAUGACCAUAAAGUAAACUGUUGGAUGAAAUUGAUGACCCUAGUUCCUGAAUGUGAAAUCUAGUUGUUGCCUAUAUUGCUAUUCAAGAUAUUGUCUCUAUCGGUGUCCGCUUUUCUGUUGAAAAAAUUAUGAAUUUUUAUUCAUAAUCAUGCAUGAAUGGGUAUAUAUUCUGCUUUGGUGAACCUUAGUCCCUAAAUUCAAUUUUGCAACAACAAUUAGAAGUGAUUUUGCUGAAGGUUCAGCAUACUAAUAAGGUUCAGCAUACUAAUAAGGUGGUUGAUUGCCAAGGUUCAACGGUGAUUUUGAAACCGAAUUUUCAUGCUAACUGAAGUUGAAACUUGAAAGCAUGCUGGUGGUACCAAACAGAGGUAGUACUUAUAUAUAAGGAUGGAGGUAUUACUAAGUAUUGUUUGAUAUAUGCCUCAAUACUUGUGGUUCUGAACUUUGUCACUUGAAUUCAGAUGUUUUCUUUGUUCUCAACAAUGGAUACAUUAAUCUGCAUUUGGACUUGAUCUGGUAGCUUUCUUAGGGGACAACCAUGAAUACAAAUUUUGAUUUUUGUUGAAGCUAUGUCUUUCUCCAUAAUAGUUUCAAAAUGAGAUUUGAGAAAAAUUGGCUAUUGGAUACUUUAUGAAAACUAAAUUCGGCCAAAAAGCCUGUAGUAAUUGGUAAGAUUUUGUCCCAUGACAAAAAUGUAGUGUCUGUGGGUGCAUCUAUCAUUAAUUGAUUUUCAUUCUUGAUAUAGAAAACUUUAACAUAAGAAUGAUGACAACAAAAUUUUCAGGCAGAUGUUCAUUUGCGGUUGUCGUUUGAG